CACGUAGGAGGCGAGCGUUAUUCGGAUUUACUGGGUGUAAAGCGCGUGUAGGCGGCGCAGAAAGUUGGAUGUGAAAGCUCCUGGCUUAACUGGGAGAGGUCGUUCAAAACUUCUGUGCUUGAGUAUGGUAGAGGAAAAUGGAAUUCCGGGUGUAGUGGUGAAAUGCGUAGAUAUCCGGAGGAACACCAGUGGCGAAAGCGAUUUUCUGGACCAAGACUGACGCUCAGACGCGAAAGCUAGGGUAGCAAACGGG
rnacentral:rRNA from 1 species